UACGUAGGCAGCAAGCGUUGUCCGGAAUCAUUGGGCGUAAAGGGCGCGUAGGUGGCCCGGUCAGUUCGUGGUGAAAGCGCGGGGCCCAACCCUGCGUCGGCCAUGAAUACUGCCGCGGCUGGAGCACUGUAGAGGCAGGCGGAAUUCCGGGUGUAGCGGUGGAAUGCGUAGAGAUCGGAAAGAACACCAACGGCGAAAGCACUCUGCUGGGCCGACACUGACACUGAGAGACGAAAGCUAGGGGAGCGAAUGGG
rnacentral:rRNA from 1 species